GACGAACGCUGGCGGCGUGCUUAACACAUGCAAGUCGAACGGAAAGGCCCUGCUUUUGUGGGGUGCUCGAGUGGCGAACGGGUGAGUAACACGUGAGUAACCUGCCCUUGACUUUGGGAUAACUUCAGGAAACUGGGGCUAAUACCGGAUAGGAGCUCCUGCUGCAUGGUGGGGGUUGGAAAGUUUCGGCGGGUGGGGAUGGACUCGCGGCUUAUCAGCUUGUUGGUGGGGUAGUGGCUUACCAAGGCUUUGACGGGUAGCCGGCCUGAGAGGGUGACCGGCCACAUUGGGACUGCGAUACGGCCCAGACUCCUACGGGAGGCAGCAGUGGGGAAUCUUGCACAAUGGGUGGAAGCCUGAUGCAGCAACGCCGCGUGCGGGAUGACGGCCUUCGGGUUGUAAACCGCUUUCGCCUGUGACGAAGCGUGAGUGACGGUAAUGGGUAAAGAAGCACCGGCUAACUACGUG
rnacentral:rRNA from 1 species